rnacentral:lncRNA from 1 species
CUGAUGCGGUUGGAUCCACUAGACCGCCUCGGACUUAAUCAUUUGGUUAUUUUUGCUUUUGAGUCCUUGAUGUUAAUUUUAUUUCAGCAUAGCCUUGCUCGGGUUAGCCGACUUGGCCUUUAUUAGAGUCGCUUUGGGUUUAGUUGUUUCUUGAAUUCAAUUAGAUCAAGUCAAGUUAAGGGGUCAGGUAGCCACCUAUAAAUAGAUGUGGUGAGCACCUAUUUCAGUAUGCAAAAAUUAAUUGAAAGACUUUUGCCCUAGCUCUUUUCCCUUCUCUCUUCUCUUCUUGCGACGCCUUCCCCCUCUCCCUAGGCCGCCGUCCAAGGCCGCCGCCCCCUCCUUCAUCCGGCUGCACCACCUCUGUCCCGAGAGGCCAGCCACCUCCUC